rnacentral:rRNA from 1 species
GGAGUUAGCCGGUGCUUCUUCUGUGAGUGAUGUCCUUCCUGCCGGCUAUUAACCCGCAGGCCUUCUUCCUCACUGAAAGUGCUUUACAACCCGAAGGCCUUCUUCACACACGCGGCAUGGCUGGAUCAGGGUUGCCCCCAUUGUCCAAUAUUCCCCACUGCUGCCUCCCGUAGGAGUCUGGGCCGUGUCUCAGUCCCAGUGUGGCUGAUCAUCCUCUCAGACCAGCUACGGAUCGUCGCCUUGGUGAGCCGUUACCUCACCAACCAGCUAAUCCGACAUAGGCUCAUCCGAUAGCGCGAGGCCCGAAGGUCCCCCGCUUUCCCCCGUAGGGCGUAUGCGGUAUUAGCCUGGGUUUCCCCCAGGUUAUCCCCCACUACCGGGGCAGAUUCCUAUGCAUUACUCACCCGUCCGCCGCUCGCCACCAGGGAGCAAGCUCCCCGUGCUGCCGCUCGACUUGCAUGUGUAGCUCGCCGCCACGCGUCAUCUGAGCAUGAUACAACUACUGA